rnacentral:rRNA from 1 species
AUUGAACGCUGGCGGCAGGCUUAACACAUGCAAGUCGAGCGGGGAGAUGUAGCUUGCUACAUUUCCUAGCGGCGGACGGGUGAGUAAUGCUUAGGAAUCUGCCUAUUAGUGGGGGACAACAUUCCGAAAGGAAUGCUAAUACCGCAUACGCCCUACGGGGAAAGCAGGGGAUCUUCGGACCUUGCGCUAAUAGAUGAGCCUAAGUCAGAUUGGCUAGUUGGUGGGGUAAAGGCCUACCAAGGCGACGAUCUGUAGCGGGUCUGAGAGGAUGAUCCGCCACACUGGGACUGAGACACGGCCCAGACUCCUACGGGAGGCAGCAGUGGGGAAUAUUGGACAAUGGGCGCAAGCCUGAUCCAGCCAUGCCGCGUGUGUGAAGAAGGCCUUUUGGUUGUAAAGCACUUUAAGCGAGGAGGAGGCUACCUGGAUUAAUACUCUAGGAUAGUGGACGUUACUCGCAGAAUAAGCACCGGCUAACUCUGUGCCAGCAGCCGCCGCCG